GCGAGGGUGGAGGAACUGGCAGACGCGCUGGACUUAGAAUACAGCGCUUAACAAGCAUAAGGGUUCAACUCUGUUCCCUCGCACAA
rnacentral:tRNA from 1 species